AUUACAGGUUUGAGCCACCGUGCCUGGCCCUAAUUUUUGUAUUUUUAGUAGAGAUGGGGUUUCACCAUGUUGGCCAGGAUGGUCUCAAUCUCUUGACCUCGUGAUCCACCCUCCUCGGCCUCUGAAAGUGCUAGGAUUACAGGCAUGAGCCUCCGCACCUGGCCCAAAUUUUUCUUAACUUUCAAGGUCAAGGGUACAGGUUCAGGUUUGUUACGUAGGUACACUUGUGUCAUGGGGGUUAUUUCAUCACCCAGGUAUUAAGCCUAGUACCCAUUAGUUGUUUCUCCUGAUCCUCUCCCUCCUUCCACUCUCCGCCCUCUAAUAGGCCCCAGUGCGUGUUGUUUCCCUCUAUGUGUCCAUGUGUUCUCAUCAUUUAGCUCCCACUUAUAAUCAAGAACAUGCGGUAUUUGGUUUCCUGUUCCUGCGUUUAGUUUGCUAAGGGAUAUCUUUUUUAGAAUUUUUUUUUUUAAAGGAGCCUGCAUCCUGACUAAACAUCAGCAUGCCUUCACCAUGCUGUGACCCAGGCAGCUGCAGGAUCUUCCCAGCAGAAUGUUCCCUUGAACAUUCUCAGACACUGAUAAAGGCAUCUAGAUUGUUGCUCGAAACACUGGAAAAAAAAAAAAAAACUGGUCCUGAGCCAAAUUUCUCAUACUCUCAUAAAAAUUCCUGUCCCUGAGCCCCUCACUGAAGACAUACCUAGGUAGAACCUCCCUUUUCUCUCACUGUUGUGAGGAUCACUGCAGCCCUCCUAAGUAAAUUCCCCUAAUAAAUGUUCUGGCCUGAUCACCCUGGCAGUUAGUGUUUCUUUCUUUAGAAUCUCAACCAGCCCCAGCUGCUGCGGUGGCUCACGCCUGUAAUCCCAGCACUUUGGGAGGCCGACGGGGGCAGAUCACUUGAGGUUAGAAGUUUGAGACCAGCCUGGCCAAUAUGGCGAAACCCUGUCUCUACUAAAAAUACAAAAAAAAAAAAAAAAAAAUUAGCUGGGCAUGGUGACAGGCGCCUGUAAUCUCAGCUACUCGGGAGGCUGAGGCAGGAAAAUCGCUUGAGCCCAGAAGGUGGAGGUUGCAGUGAGCUGAGAUCGCGCCAUUGCACUCCAGCCUGGGUGACAGAGCAAGACUGUCUCAAAAAAGGGCUGGGUGCAGUGGCUCACACCUGUAAUCCCGGCACUUUGGGAGGCCAAGGUGGGCAGAUUGCCUGAGGUGAGGAGUUCAAGACCAGCCUGACCAACAUGGUGAAACGCCGUCUCUACUAAAAAUACAAAAAUUAGCCAGGUGUGGUGGCGUGCACCUGUAAUCCCAGCUACUUGGGAGGCUGAGACAGGAGAAUCGCUUGAACCAGGGAGGCGGAGGUUGCAGUGAGCCAAGACCGGGCCAUUGCACUCCAGCCUAGGCAACAAGAGUGAAACUCCGUCUCAAAAAAAAAAAAAAAAAGGAGCUGCGUGUGGUGGCUCGCGUCUGGAAUCCCAGCACUUUGGGAAGCCAAGGUGGGCAGAUCACCUGAGGUCAGGAGUUUGAGACCAGCCUGGCCAAUAUGGCAAAACCCCGUCUCUACUAAAAAUACAAAAAUUAGCCGGGCAUGGUGGUGGGGACCUGUAAUCCCAGCUACUUGGGAGGCUGAGGCAGGAUAAUUGUUUGAACCAGGAGGUGGAGGUUGCAGUGAGCUGAGAUUGUGCCAUUGCACUCAAGCCUGGGCAACAGAGCGAGACUCCAUCUCAAAAAAAUAAAAAAUAAAAAUAAAAAGACAAAAUUCUUGAUAGCUAGCAUGUUGGCAUUCAGAGUCAGAACUCUCCCAGCUGUAAAAGAUUUUUUCUAGAUCAGUGUCUUGAAACUGCAGGCUGCCUUCCAUUUGUGGGCCAUGCGAUCAAUGUACUGGUCACGCCCUGUGUUUUAGUUAAACGAAAAGAGACUAAAUGGAAACGUGUCAGUGUGUGUCCUAUGCAGUGAGGGUGAUUAUCAUGUAGUGAAACUUGUUUCUGUUACAUACACAUCCUUUCAGAGACUGGUUCUCAUACCCCCACAACGAAUGUUAAGAAGCCACAGCACAGAUAGCAUCACGGUGAUGAAGGACUAGGGCUUAGGGAAGAUUCUCUUUGCUUGGUGAACUCUCCUCUCCAAAGGGUAACCAAGGUUGACACACCAGCUGCAUUCUCGGACACCUCCACUUACCAUUUCCUGUAAUUCCGGCACUUUGGGAGGCUUAGGUGACAGGAUUGCUUGAGGCCAGGAGUUUGAGAACAGCCUGCGAAACUGCAUCUCUACCAAAAAAUACUUCUUUUUUUUUUAGACAGGAUCUCACUCUGUCACCCAGGCUGGAGUGCAGUAGCACAAUCAUAGCUCACUGGAGCCUGGAUCGCCCGGGUUUAGAUGAUCUUCACACCUCAACCGCCCAGGGAGGUGGGACUACAGGUGUGCGUCUCCAUGCUUAGCUCAUUUUUUUUAUUUUUUCUAGUAACGGGGUUUUGCAUGUUGGCCAGGCUGGUCUCAAACUACUGGGCUCAAGUGAUCUGCCCACCUUGACCUCCCAAAGUGCUGGGAUUACAGGUGUGAGCCACCAUGCCCAGCCAAAAAAUUCUUUAAAAAAUUAGUUGCGCCUGUAAUCCCAGCACUUUAGGAGGCGGAGGCGGGCGGAUCAUGAGGUCAGGAGUUUGAGACCAGCCUGACCAACAUGGUGAAACCCGUCUCUACUAAAAAUACAAGAAUUAGCCGGGCGUGGUGGCGUGUGCCUGUAAUCCCAGCUACUCAGGAGGAUGAGGAAGGAUGAAUCACUUGAACCAGGGAGGUGGAGGUUGCAGUGAGCUGAGAUUGUGCCACUGCACUCCAGCCUGGGCGACAGAACAAGACUCUGUCUCAAAAAAAAAAAAAAGUUAGUUGGGCUCAGUGUUGCACACCAGUAGUCCCAGCUGCUCAGGAGACCGAGGCAGGAGGAUCGCUUGAGCCCAGGAGAUUGAGAUUACAGUGAGCUGUGACUGUGAUCACACCAGUGCACUCCAGCCUGGGUAAUACGAGACCCUGCCUCUAAAAAAUAAUUAUAAUAAAAAACUUAGCUGGACGUGAUGGUGCCUGGAUGUAAUCUCAGCUACUCGGAAGGCUGAGGCAGGAAGACUACUUGAGGCUGGGAGGUCGAGGCUGCAGUGAGCUAUGAUCGUGCCACUGCACUCCAGCCUGGGCAACAGAAUGAAACUCUAUCUCUAAAAAUAAAUAAAUAAACAUUCACUGUGUGCCACACACUGUGUUGACGUGCUGAAUCCUCACCACAUUAAAAUGAGUCCCACCAUCCUUGUUUUACAGAUGAGGGAACUGAGGCACAAGAGGCUCAGCCACAGAUAGACGCAGAGACGCAGACGCGGUGGCUCAUGCCUGCAAUCCCAGCACUUUGGGAGGCUGAGACGGGUGGAUCACCUGAGGUCAGGAGUUCAAGACCAGCCUGGCCAUCAUAGUGAAAUUCCGUCUCUACUGAAAAUAUAAAAAUUAGCUGGGUGUGGUGGCAGUUGCCUGUAAUCCCAGCUAUUCAGGAGGCUGAGGCAGGAGAACUGCUGGAACCCAGGAAGAGGUCACAGUGAGCCGAGAUCGCGCCACUGCACUCCAGCCUAGGCAACAGACAGAGCAAGACUCCGUCUCAAAAACAAAACAAAAGGCUCAGCCACUUGGCAACAGUUACAGGCCUGUAGGAGUCAGGGUCUAAGCUCACACCCACCAUGCUGUGCUUCAGCUCUGGGAGCUCCCUUCUUGGACUGUCUUUGGAGGAGCGUCUCCCUGUGCGUCCUCCUGCUGACCACCCCCUGGGGUCCCUCUGGCAGCAGCCUGGGGGAAUCCUGUCCUCAGAUGGGGAGACACGUCCCUACAGGACUCCUAGUCUCCACUUAGCAAUGACCCAGGGCACCUGAGCAUGGCUUCUGUGCACCAGGAGCACAGCCCGCCGCCUCCACAUGGAGUGCCUGGGUCCAGAACUCCCCAUGUUCAUCUACAAAUGGAGCCUCUUCCAAGAUGUCUUUUUUUUUUCUUUUUUUUAGGCAAGGUCUUUCUCUGUUGCCCAGGCAGAGUACAAUGGCGUCAUCUUGGCUCACUGCAACCUCCGCCUCCCGGGUUCAAGUGAUUCUCCUGCCUCAGCGUCCCGAGUAGCUGGGAUUACAGAUGUGCACCACCAUGCCGAGCUAAUUGUUGUAUUUUUAGUAGAGACGGGGUUUCGCCAUGUUGGUCAGGCAGGUCUCGAACUCCUGACCUCAGGUGAUCCACCCACCUCGGCCUCCCAAAGUGCCGGGAUUAUAGGCGUGAGCCACCAUGCCUGGCCCCAAGAUGCCUUCUGUGAGCACCUCAACUGAAGUAUCAUGUCCAUCCUCUCUAUCCUGCUCCUCUUCACCUCCCCAUGAUCUGCCAUCAGAUGAUGUAUUUGUGUCUCCUUAUGACUAGAAGGGGGAAGAUGCAUGUGCUGGGUGAGGCUGCCUUCAGCAGAAUAAUGACCACCCCUCGUCCAAAUGAGAAGUGACAUUUCAAAGCAGCAGCUUGCAAAAAACCCUCAGCUGCUGAUCGCACACGUUCUUCCCUUAGAAAACACCCAUCCGGCUGGAGGAAGAAGACGCGGAGCAAAUAAAUUCAGAUGUUUUAUUCUGUAAAGCACAUAUGCACAUACUUCAAACACGGAAAAUUAAUCUGGAAGUGAA
rnacentral:lncRNA from 10 species